AGAGUUUGAUCCUGGCUCAGAACGAACGCUGGCGGCAUGCCUAAUACAUGCAAGUCGAACGCGUCUAGCAAUAGACGAGUGGCGGACGGGUGAGUAACGCGUGGGAACCUGCCCUUGAGUGCGGGAUAACCGAGGGAAACUUCGGCUAAUACCGCAUGCGCCCCGAGCAAUCGGGGGAAAGAUUUAUCGCUCGAGGAGGGGCCCGCGUCGGAUUAGCUAGUUGGUGGGGUAACGGCCUACCAAGGCGAUGAUCCGUAGCUGGUCUGAGAGGAUGAUCAGCCACACUGGGACUGAGACACGGCCCAGACUCCUACGGGAGGCAGCAGUAGGGAAUAUUGGACAAUGGGGGCAACCCUGAUCCAGCAAUGCCGCGUGAGU
rnacentral:rRNA from 1 species